UACGGGGGGGGCAAGCGUUGUUCGGAUUUACUGGGCGUAAAGGGUUCGUAGGUGGCUUGCUAAGUCAGACGUGAAAUCCCUCGGCUCAACCGGGGCACUGCGUCUGAGACUGGCGAUCUUGAGUGCAGGAGAGGAACGCGGAAUUCCAGGUGUAGCGGUGAAAUGCGUAGAUAUCUGGAGGAACACCGGUGGCGAAGGCGGCGUUCUGGACUGCAACUGACACUGAGGAGCGAAAGCCAGGGGAGCAAACGGG
rnacentral:rRNA from 1 species